UACGUAGGGUGCGAGCGUUAAUCGGAAUUACUGGGCGUAAAGCGUGCGCAGGCGGUUCGUUGUGUCGGCGGUGAAAGCCCGGGCUUAACCUGGGAAUGGCCGUUGAAACUGGCGAACUGGAGUGUGGCAGAGGGGGUGGAAUUCCGCGUGUAGCAGUGAAAUGCGUAGAGAUGCGGAGGAACACCGAUGGCGAAGGCAGCCCCUGGGCUAACACUGACGCUCGAGGCACGAAAGCGUGGGAGCGAACAG
rnacentral:rRNA from 1 species